GAUUAAGCCAUGCAUGUGUAAGUGUAAAUAUAUUAGUUUGGAACUGCGAAUGGCUCAUUAUAUCAGUUAUAGUUUAUUUGGUGAAGUGUACUACUUGGAUAACCGUAGUAAUUCUAGGGCUAAUACAUGAGAAAGUCCUCUGGUGAGGCGUGUUUAUUAGAAUGAAAACCAUAUGCUUCGGCAUGAUAGUGAGUAAUAGUAACCUAUCGUAUCGCAUGCUUAAUGUAGCGAUGAGUCUUUCAAGUUUCUGCCCUAUCAGCUUUCGAUGGUAGUAUAUGGGCCUACCAUG
rnacentral:rRNA from 1 species